UAAAACGUAUUUAUUUGAUUCAUUGAAUGUGUGUUUACAUCUUUUUGGGACAUCUUGUAUUCUAACACUUGCCACUUUAGAGUUCUUAGGUUUAUAAUGAUGAAGUCGGUCACGUAGUGAAGGGUAGAAUCAGCUCUCGACGUUGAAGGACGGGAGACGGAAUCCAUAUUCCUCUGCAUUUUAGAAUUGGCCCAUGUUUAGUGGUUCCCUUGUCGCCACGGCGAACAGAUUGGGGUAGCCUCAGAGCAUGUCUGGAUGCUGACACUCUCGUCCAGCUGAUAGCUUAGUCACUAUGAUGACUGAGCCAUCAGCUCCUUGUGUACAUUCAAAAUAUUCUGUGGAACUGUCGGUAGAUUAGCAUUUUCCAUCCUUUUCCAAGUUGGUCGUAGUUGUCUGCCGUAUGGCAACACUGCGGUUGGCGUAUGUCACUUCCUACAGCCUACCUGAUGAGUGAAAGUUUGCUGUGGCGAGAAGGCAAGGUAAAGGUUUGGCAUUGCAUUCAGACUGUAGUGGGGCUGUAGUAAGAGGUAGGAUGGCAUGGCCGCGAGCCCUGAAGCCGCACGAGUAUGUUGUGGUGCAGCAGGCAGAUUUCGAAGAACAUGCAGAAGACGUCAUCAGUCCCUGUAUAGACCUGUCCGAUGUACGUCGACUGGUAAGUGAUGUGUGGCAACGUUGCAUUGUAUCACCAUAACCAAUCCUUUGUUAUGACUGACUUAUGUGUCUCCCGUAUUUUUAACCAACAUACUGUUUUCGUUGUCCGUCCAUAUUUGAAGUGCCGGCGAAAAAAAUUUACGUGCGCAAUCCUGGAGGACGGAUGGGUUGCUUCUUCGUCUGACUUCUUGCCUCUUAGGGAGGCCCUGCCGGUGUAACUUGAGGGGUCAUUGAAACACAACGUUCCACCACCACAUCAAGGUCACGCAACUCCUCGGUGGAGUCGAAACAUUGCCCUGUCUGUUUUCCGAGAUCGGAAAGACAAAACAAGUAUUUUCUUCCAUUUGUUUUGAAUGGUUGUGUAACGUGAAGCGAUGCUUUUCCAGCGUUAAACACGUGCAAUAGUUUCAAAAGAAAUUGAGGGGAAUUUCUGGAGGACGGAUGUGGACAGAUCACGGAUGUAGGCCUGCUUGAAGUUUCCGUAAUUCAUACUUAGUUUGCCGUUAUGUAAACAUUGUUUACAGUCACUGGCGUUUUUGUCGCAGUGGAAUUUCCAGUAAUUGGUCUGUUCUGCCAUAACUGUGACGUGUUUUGUAAUAUUAUUAGUAUUAUCAUCAUCAUCAAGUUGAAGGUAGGACAGACUCGUUCCGUCUCGCAAGAGAUGUUGAUGUUUCUUACAGCGUAAAAACAUGCAAUCAGAUGGUCUGCAAUCUAACAACCUCUGUUAAAAGGAUACAGUGUAAAUGUUACAUGUAAUGAGAAGAAUUAAGAAUUGUGACAAAUGACACUCGUCAGCUCAGUGUGAACUAGGCUUGGUACUUGUAGCAGUCAAUGCAUUGCCAUUGUUUAUAUUUGGUGUACCACAGUUUUCGUGAAUGGGACUGCUUAAGUUUGUAAUAAAUUACACAUGUUCUGUA